rnacentral:ncRNA from 1 species
AAUUAAUUAUAAUUUAGUUAAAUAAUUAUUUAUUAAUUACAUAUAUAUAUAUAUAUAAGUAUAAUAAAAUUAAAUUUAAAUAAUUUAAUUUAAAUUUUAAUUAAUAUAAAAAAUUAUUAAUUAUUUAUUAAUAUAAUUAGGUAUAUAAUUAAAUAUAAGUUAAUUUUUGUGCCAGCAUCAGCGGUUAAACAAAGGAAUAUAAAAUAAUUUUAUUAAUUAAUAUUAAUAUUAUAUAAAAAUUAAAAUUAAAUAUUUAAAAUUUUAGUUAAAAUUAAAAUUUUAAUAAAAUAAUUUUUAUUAAUUUAAAUAAAUAUAAAAAUAUUAAUAAAAACUAGGAUUUGAUACCCUAUUAUUUAUAUUAAAUUUAAAUAAUUAAUUAUUAUUUAUUAUAAAAAAAUUAAAAAUUAUGGCGGUAUUUUAAUCUAAUUAGAGGAACUUGUAAAUUAAUUUGAUAAUCCACGAAAAGAUAAAUUUAAAUUUUUAAAUAUUUUUGUAUGUUCGUUUUAAAAAAAUUUAAUAAUAAUAUUAAUUUUUUAGAUAUAUAAUUAUAUAUUAAUUCAGAUCAAUAUGAAAUUUAUUUAAAGUUAUAUGAGUUACAAUAAAAUAUUUUUAUAUUUAUAAAUUUAAAUAUUUAUAUAAAUUGGAUUUAAUAGUAAUAUAAUUAAAUUAAAUUAUAUGAAUAUAGUAUGAAAUAUGUACAAAUUGCCCGUCAAUUCUAUAAAUGAAUAAGUCGUAACAAAGUAAAUAUACUGGAAAGUGUAUUUAG